rnacentral:rRNA from 1 species
AUACGGAGGAUGCGAGCGUUAUCCGGAUUUAUUAGGUUUAAAGGGUGUGUAGGCGGUAUUUUAAGUCAGUGGUGAAAUCUCGGAGCUUAACUUCGAAACUGCCAUUGAUACUGGAAUACUUGAGUAUAGUUGAGGUAGGCGGAAUAUGUAAUGUAGCGGUGAAAUGCAUAGAUAUUACAUAGAACACCGAUUGCGAAGGCAGCUUACUAAACUAUUACUGACGCUGAUGCACGAAAGCGUGGGGAGCGAACAGGAGUAGAAACCCUAGUAGUCC